rnacentral:misc_RNA from 1 species
UUGCAGCCCGACUUGAGUGGAGCUCUUUUAUGUGCAGCGAAGCGGAACAAAAAAAGCGGGAACGGAAGGCGGAUAAAGC